GACGAACGCUGGCGGCGUGCUUAACACAUGCAAGUCGAACGGAAAGGCCCUGCUUUUGUGGGGUGCUCGAGUGGCGAACGGGUGAGUAACACGUGAGUAACCUGCCCUUGACUUUGGGAUAACUUCAGGAAACUGGGGCUAAUACCGGAUAGGAGCUCCUGCUGCAUGGUGGGGGUUGGAAAGUUUCGGCGGUUGGGGAUGGACUCGCGGCUUAUCAGCUUGUUGGUGGGGUAGUGGCUUACCAAGGCUUUGACGGGUAGCCGGCCUGAGAGGGUGACCGGCCACAUUGGGACUGAGAUAAGGCCCAGACUCCUACGGGAGGGAGCAGUGGGGAAUAUUGCACAAUGGGCGGGAGCCUGAUGCAGCAACGCCGCGGGCGGGAUGACGGCCUUCGGGUUGUAAACCGCUUUCGCCUGUGACGAAGCGUGAGUGACGGUAAUGGGUAAAGAAGCACCGGCUAACUACGUGC
rnacentral:rRNA from 1 species